rnacentral:rRNA from 1 species
CAUGCUAUCGAGUGAGACUAAGCCAUGCUAGUUGACGACUCGAGCCAUGGCGGAGAGUAGCGAAUCGCUCAGUAACACGUAGCUAACCUACCCUCAGGACGGGAAUAACCUCGGGAAACUGAGGCUAACUCCCGAUAGGUGUAGGGAUCUGCAAUGACCUUACACCGAAAGAUGCGCAAACCCAUGCUGCUUGCGAAUGCCUGAGGAUGGGGCUGCGGCCGAUCAGGCAGUUGGUGAGGUAACGGCUCACCAAACCUUUGACCGGUACGGGCCGUGAGAGCGGUAGCCCGGAGGUGGGCACUGAGACAAAGGCCCAGGCCCUACGGGGCGCAGCAGGCGCGAAAACUCCACAAUGCACGAAAGUGCGAUGGGGUUACCUCGAGUGCCGUCUGAUGAAGGCGGCUUUUCUACAGUGUAAUGAUCUGUGGGAAUAAGAGGGGGGCAAGACUGGUGUCAGCCGCCGCGGUAACACCAGCCCCUCGAGUGGUGGGGACUUUUAUUUGGCCUAAAGCGUUCGUAGCCGGCUUGGCAAGUCACUCGUUAAAUCCAGCGUCACAAGCGUUGGGCUGCGAGUGAUACUGUCAAGCUAGAGGGUGGGAGAGGUCAGCGGUAUUCCCAGGGUAGGGGCGAAAUCCUUUGAUCCUGGGAGGACCACCAGUGGCGAAGGCUGCUGACUAGAACACGCCUGACGGUGAGGGACGAAAGCUGGGGGAGCGAAUCGGAUUAGAUACCCGAGUAGUCCCAGCCGUAAACGAUGCAGGCUAGGUGUUGGAGUGACCAUGGGUCACUACAGUGCCGCAGGGAAGCCUUUAAGCCUGCCGCCUGGGGAGUACGGCCGCAAGGCUGAAACUUAAAGGAAUGGCGGGGGAGCACACAGGGUGAGCUG